rfam:Triticum aestivum genome assembly, contig: Triticum_aestivum_CS42_TGACv1_scaffold_320832_4BL
UGUGUACUCCCUCCGUUCCAAAAUACUUGACUUCCAUUUGUCCAAAAUGGAUGUACCUAUAUACUAAAACAUGUCUAGAUACAUCUAUAUUUUUAGAAAUAGAAGGCAUGUAUUGUGGAACGGAGGGAGUAGAAU